AUACGGAGGGUGCAAGCGUUACUCGGAAUCACUGGGCGUAAAGCGCGCGCAGGCGGGCUGAUAAGUUGGAUGUGAAAGCCUACGGCUCAACCGUAGAACUGCAUCCAAAACUGUCAGUCUAGAGUGUGGGAGAGGAAGAUGGAAUUAGUUGUGUAGGGGUAAAAUCCGUAGAGAUAACUAGGAAUACCAAAAGCGUAGGCAAUCUUCUGGAACACUACUGACGCUGAGGCGCGAAGGCGUGGGGAGCAAACAGGAUUAGAUACCCUAGUAGUCC
rnacentral:rRNA from 1 species